AAAGCGACUGGAGGUCUGGAGGUAUCGGAGAGGCCACGACAGAGCGAGUGCUCACGAGCGCUAUGCGGCCACUGUGUCGCGCGGUGGCUUUUGCCUGCUCCCUUUCGGUCCUGAGCCGUACACCACUCCUUGACCGCCCGGGACAUGCUAUCCUGCGACGGCACAACCCUGGCGACGCAACGCUUGACACGGACGAUCGGUCGCCGCACUCCACGGCCACCGCCGGACUCCUCCCCUCACUCCAUCCACAUCAAUCUACCGCCUAGACACUGGCUCACAGGCGCCCGCCACGGCACCCGGU
rnacentral:SRP_RNA from 1 species